UUCACCGGCCGCCUUGAGGAAGUGAUCAAGUCAGUCAGUCGCCAUGUUGGAAUCCUUCUCUCAUGUGUAGGACUGAAGAAGGCAUCUGUUUCUUGGCGGUUUUGAACAAUAUUUGACGCAUUUUUGAUAAAAACUUAUUCAAAAUGAGUUUUGGAAGACCACCCCCUCGAAUUGAGGGUAUGGUUUCUUUGAAAGUUGAUAAUCUCACCUAUAGAACAACCACCGAUGAUUUGCGACGUGUUUUCGAACGAUGUGGAGAAGUUGGAGAUGUUUACAUACCUCGUGAUAGAUUUACCAGGGAAAGCAGAGGAUUCGCUUUUGUCAGGUUUUAUGACAAGCGUGAUGCCGAAGAUGCACUUGACGCUAUGGACGGGCGUUUGCUUGACGGCAGGGAGCUGAAAGUUCAGAUGGCGCGCUAUGGAAGACCAUCGUCUCCAUAUAGGCGUAGUCGCAGGAGGAGGUCGCGUUCAAGGUCGCGCCGUCGCUCCAGGUCGCGCGGUCGCCAUCACUCGCGAUCAGAGUCGCGUAGCCGGUCGCGUUCGCGGUCUGGCAGCAAGAGUUCGCGCGGUCGUGACCGCUCGCGUUCCAAGAGCCGAUCGCGCAGUCGUUCCAAGUCGUAAGGCGACCAAUACUGCUCACGGUGGCGGUUUGUAUAAAUUUGGCAGCUGGGGCUGACUGAUAAAGUUUGCUGAUAGCUGAAAUUCUAAAAAUAAAUAAAAAUGUAGGAUCCAAUUCAGAUUGAAUUUAAAAGAAUUCAGGAUUCAGAGAAAAAAGUUUGACGUUGUGGAGUUUGCCAACUGCCUCCUGAUUAGAUGAUUGAAAGAUUUUUCUGAAAUAGCCUUAGAUCAUCAAUGUUUGCUUUCAGUCUUUGACUGGUGGUUUGGAAGCCACCUAAAAUUGGAAUUUUUGUCUCACGUAUUUGUUUUUCAGGCAAUUAAUGGUAAAAGACAAUCCCCUCUUUGUUCCCCGUUACAAUCAGGGAUUUUCAAGAAUGUAGAAUUUUUUGCUUUUCAUGAAUAUAUAUCUCUACAUAUAUUCAGAUCUAUAUCGUAAUUGAAUAUAAAGUAAAGAAAUUUUACAGAUGGAGGGACAUGGAAGGGAAUAUUUGGGCUGCGUCAUAAAAGUUUCCCUUAUUAAGUUUUUCCAAAUUGGGAUUCACUUUGAAAUGUCAGCAUUUCUCUCAUAAAUCACGUGGAUGCUGACAUUUUGAAAUGAAUAUCACUAAAGAUAAUUGACGCCGUGUCUCAAUACACGAAUUAAUGAAAGUUUUGGAUUAGACCAGCAUAAUAUAAGAUACUACCUACUGGUCUACUUACGUCCAUUAAAUUUAACCACCUUAAAAUGAAGUUAUCUAACGGAAGCAAUGUCAAAAGAAACCAAUAAACGACAAUAUGACGUCAUUUUACAACGGUUAAAUGUAAUAUACCAACGUGUAACUGGGCAUGAGUGAAUUCUAUGUAGAGUAUUAUAGUAAUUGAGUUUGGUCUUGAGUACUACUCAUUUGGAUAUGAGGGAUUAGACGGACCAAAUAUACAAACCUGGGAUCCUGUAAAUGUGGGGUUUUGACAAAUAAUUUAUGUAUCUUGCUAAUUUGAUAAAUUUCUUGACUUCCUCUCACAAAAAGUGACUGGAUCAUAUAAAUAUAUGUUUUGAUUGAAGAAUGAAGUAUCUUCCAAAAUGAUUUUGGAAAGUUCAUUAGAUUCCUCUCAAUAAAAAUGACUGAAAUAUUUGUGAAGAUGAUUUGAGGGAAGUAUGGAGUAUGGGAGUAUGAAGUAUUGGAGUAUUGGGCUUAAGCUGAAGCAGGAAUGCUGUAGCAGUUAAUCAAAGAUCAACUAAGGUGAUGUAGCAGUUAAUCAGAGAUCAACUUAAUGCUGAUCAAGUAGCCGUUAAUCAGAGAUCAACUAAUUGCUGAUCGGGAGACUGAUCCAGAUGAACACGGACAUGAAAGGCAAAAGAAUGCAAGCUUAGUUUUGUUUUCAGUUUGUUGAAUGAAGCAACUAUUUUUAUUGAAAAUUCAUAAGAUAAUAUUUGAAAUUAGUAUGUAAUAAGCAGAAUAUUAGUGAUAGUAUCAUUGGAGCUUAUCAUUUUUAACAUGUACAGGGCUUUUUAAUCGAUAAUAACUACAUUGAGUAAACAGUUUUUGAUUAGAGUUAGAACAUAGAAGCUUAGUGAAGCUAAUUUUUGGAAAUCGCUGUUGGUGGAUUGAGGGUAAUUUUUGGGUACUAAAUUUUGAAUUUUUUGUUUCAAUUAGUGUGGCCCCAGAGUCUUAAAGUUGAAUGAAUUCAACUGUAAGUUCGCACUUGAUGGUAACUAAAUACGAAAUGUUUUGUAAUUGAAAUAGGUAUAAGACUUUUGUAAGUGAACAAGAACAUGUUGAAUAUUUCUUAUAGUUGAGGAAUAUUGCAGACUAUUCCAUCCAUAAUUUGGACGGUUUUCAAAUACGGUUGAAACUUUCUUUGAUGAUCAGCUUAGGUUGAAAUUUAGUUUCUAUUUAUUAGUUAUGCUACUUGAAAACUCUGCACUGUUGUUAUUAUAAAGAAUAUACCUCAAUAGUUGAACAUGAUUGUUGAAAUAAUAUUUCUAGAUUGUUGAUCAGUCUGAAAAAAUUGAUAAAUAAUCAGUUGUUGGUUUAUAAUUGUCACCAAUUACAUCACAUUAUCCGCUUCAAAAUUCUGUAUAAUUCAGACCAAACUUUGGCUUGAAUUUUGUUUUCAGGAUAUAGCCUAGCCCAAACAGUACUUUCAGUAAUAUUUAUCUAUUUAUUCAGUAAGACAUUUAUCUUAUAGGAGUUAUGAGAUGAAGUUUGGAAAAUACUAAUCACAGUAAUUCGUGUGUCCAAUAAAAUCAACGUUAUCCAUCACCUUUGUUUAUUGUAAGCCUUUUUCAACAAUAUUGUAAGCAUUUUAUUUCCUUAUCAAAUAUUAUCUCAAAUAUAAUUUUUAUUAAAUAUAAAAA